rnacentral:rRNA from 1 species
AUGAACGCUGGCGGCGUGCCUAAUACAUGCAAGUCGAGCGAACGGACGAGAAGCUUGCUUCUCUGAUGUUAGCGGCGGACGGGUGAGUAACACGUGGAUAACCUACCUAUAAGACUGGGAUAACUUCGGGAAACCGGAGCUAAUACCGGAUAAUAUUUUGAACCGCAUGGUUCAAAAGUGAAAGACGGUCUUGCUGUCACUUAUAGAUGGAUCCGCGCUGCAUUAGCUAGUUGGUAAGGUAACGGCUUACCAAGGCAACGAUGCAUAGCCGACCUGAGAGGGUGAUCGGCCACACUGGAACUGAGACACGGUCCAGACUCCUACGGGAGGCAGCAGUAGGGAAUCUUCCGCAAUGGGCGAAAGCCUGACGGAGCAACGCCGCGUGAGUGAUGAAGGUCUUCAGAUCGUAAAACUCUGUUAUUAGGGAAGAACAUAUGUGUAAGUAACUGUGCACAUCUUGACGGUACCUAAUCAGAAAGCCACGGCUAACUACGUG